GAUUAUGGCUCAGGAUGAACGCUAGCUACAGGCUUAACACAUGCAAGUCGAGGGGCAGCAUUGGAGUAGCAAUACUCAGAUGGCGACCGGCGCACGGGUGAGUAACACGUAUCCAACCUGCCGCUUACUCGGGGAUAGCCUUUCGAAAGAAAGAUUAAUACCCGAUGGUAUAAAGAGUUCGCAUGUUCUCUUUAUUAAAGAAUUUCGGUAAGCGAUGGGGAUGCGUUCCAUUAGAUUGUUGGCGGGGUAACGGCCCACCAAGUCUACGAUGGAUAGGGGUUCUGAGAGGAAGGUCCCCCACAUUGGAACUGAGACACGGUCCAAACUCCUACGGGAGGCAGCAGUGAGGAAUAUUGGUCAAUGGACGAGAGUCUGAACCAGCCAAAAGUAGCGUGAAGGAUGACUGCCCUAUGGGUUGUAAACUUCUUUUAUAAGGGAAUAAAGUGAGGGACGUGUCCCUUUUUGUAUGUACCUUAUGAAUAAGGAUCGGCUAACUCCGUGCCAGCCGCCGC
rnacentral:rRNA from 1 species